UGAGCACACUUUAAGUGUUUAACAUGUGUAAUAAUGGUUUUUAUGGAAGUAAAUUCUAAUUUGAUCUCUUAAUUUUUCAGAUCGGGUAAUUGAGGUCAAAUACACUCAGUAACAUUGCUCCCAAAUGUCAGAGUGAAGACUCUCUCUCAUUAUCAAUGAUGCUUAAGUUGGAGGUCUUCAGCCUCCAUUUAACUUCCUAUCUUAUGCACCGAGCAUUGCAACAUUAUGUCAGAUGAGGAAACAUUCCAUCAAGUAACCGGGAAUAUUGCUGUGAAGAGGGCUGUCUUUUUGUAAGAGGGGUGAGUUUUAAUUCAUUUAAGCUGUAGAACAAGUCAUAAAUUGUAAUGCAUUGCUUAAUUGUCUUAUUUAUAAAGAAAACCCAUUAAUAAUAUAACUGUAUUAUUCCAAAUCAAACAUUUUAUGUCUAUGUAUCUGUUUAUUAUUAUCUAUUCUAGGCCUUGUACAUAGUUUCUUCUCCACAUCCUCUAACGAUUUUAUUAUUAAUAUUAAUAUCACA
rnacentral:lncRNA from 1 species